rnacentral:rRNA from 1 species
AGUGACCUGCGGAAGGUCAUUA